AACGGGGGGGGCUAGUGUUACUCGUAAGGAUUGGGCGUAAAGGGUUCGUAGGUGGUUAGUCCAAGUUAGUUGUCAAAGUAGACGGCGACUAAUACUGGUUAUACUUGAGUUUGGUAGAGGGUAUUGGUACUCUUAGUGUAGAGGUAAAAUUCAUAGAUACUAAUGGGGACCACCAAAGGCGAAGGCGAGUACCUGGACCAAACUGACGCUGAGGGACGAAAGCAUGGGGAGCAAACGGG
rnacentral:rRNA from 1 species